AAGCGCUGCAAGAUGAUAAAGAUUUAUUAAUAGAUGCUGGAGACGACCUCUGACUGCUGCUCUCCAGCACGCUAAUGCUGUGUGUUGGAGAUGAGAAAUGAUCUCUACAUGCCCCAUCUAUCUAUCUAUCUGUCCAUCUGUCUUUCUUUGUUCUCCAUUCUUCAUAAUAUACUUAAAUUAACUGCUCAUACAAUGGCCUAAUCCAUACAUCGGCCUCUGUUGUAUGGAUUAGGCCAUACAACUAUAGUCGUCAUGCAACUAUAGUGACGAUUUCUGGAUUAUAGCAGUCAGAGGAGCACUUUUCUUCAACAACUGUACAUUUAUAAUAAAAUUUCAGCAAGAUUUUACUAAAAAAAAACAACAACUUUCAAUUAAAAAAAAACGUAAAAGAAAACAAAAACUUUUCUUGAUGCACAGUCAACAGAAAGCUUGUAGAAAGAAGCUAGUCUGUUACAAAUAGUGAAGAGGAUAAUGAUCGAAGAACUUAAACUAGAAUUAUUUAUUUAUUUUCUGAAAGAUUUCUGUGCACUUGUAAAUACCAAACUCUGCUGUUUUCACUUCAACAGACCACGUGAGACAACAGUGCAGCAGUCGUAGUAAAGGCAUACACAUACAAUAUAUUUCACUCACUUCUCACUACAUUAGACACACUUUUUCAACCACUUGACAACAAAGUGAACAAAACAACCAAUUGACAAGCAGAAAUUGUGUGGAUUUAGGUGAAGUAUCAGAGAAUAACAACUCAAACUAUGAUUUUUACAAACCGGUUAUGUAAAAAUCCAGUACUGGCAAGUUAUGACAACUAAGAACAGGAAGCGGUGAGUAACUGGUUUAAAAAUGAUGAAAAUGUUUUGCGUUGUUUCAUGGGUCUUCAUUUGUGAAGCAGAUUUCUAAAUCUGCUAGACACCAACAUGGGCAGAUCAUAAAUUGGCAUAAACAGCAUGAAUCUAGUGAGUAUUGUACAGUGAGUAAUGUCUCUAAUCAUAUUCAUCCCUCUUAUGACUGCAGUCCAUCAUCUGGUGGAUACCAUCAGCAGAAUAAUGCAGCAUAUUGCAACCCAAGUUAUUUGGGGUAAUCCAGAUAUUUUUAAUAAUUAAGGUUAUGUCUCCCUUUGUCUCUUUUAUCCUGCCUUCCACCAUUCGUGAACUAUGUAUGAAAUCUUGCAAGAUGUAGCAGGAUUUGAGUAUUUAAAAGUGGGGGUGGAGCCCAUUGUUUGGUCUGGGAGAGCAUGUUGUGGACAGGGAAGUUCAGGCCUGGCUGCUGCAGUUUCUAGAUGCCUCUAAUCUUUGGAAAGAUUGAGUUUGACGGGCUUACAAACAGGAAGAAAAGAACCGAUAAACUGUGCUGGUGUGUCCAUCCGUCAGGUUCAGCUUGUCACAUACAGCCUCAACACAUCUCCACAUUGAUCCAGGCUGCAGUUUAGUUGAGGCCCCUGCUACUYCUAAUGCUGUUCUGCCACCAAAAUAAAACCCGGCGACAUGCCUGCUCAGCUAAUCAAUGGGAUCAAUAGUGCAUUGCAUCCUCUUAUAAAUAUGUUGACACCCGUCAGGUCCUGUAAGUCAACUGUGAAUUACAUUUUUGUGCUGCCAUGACAGUUAAUAGAGUCAGUAUACUGCUCGGUGUGUGACAAAAUCCGGCAGUCGUGGCUCAUUUGAGUUAAUGCCCCCCCAUCUCAGUGCUCCACCCCUGCUAUUGAUUACUGUUUAAAAGGCUAUGGGUAGUCAAUACGACCCCUCAUCACCAUCUGUCUCUAUUUACUAAUAAAUAAAGUGGAGUGCAUUGACUGCUUUGGCCUUGCCUGUAAAAGCAUGCAUGCUAAUAAGCGUCAGGCCCCUGUAGACACAGGAGCAAGAAGGUGUGGACUUUCUUCCCCCUCACAAUCUCUGCCUGGUGCUUUGCACGAGGCACAGAACUCCAAUCAUUGUAAUUGCCUGCCGGUCUUCCUGGUGUUCAAUAUCCCUCAUCAAACGAAAUGCGUCUUCGCUCCGCCUGCAUGGAUUUUUUUUUCUCCACUCGUGUCCUCGCUGUUGUGUUGUUGUUUUUUCCUCUCAAGUAGUGUGCAGGUCAGCUUUUAGGGUCCUGUCUAGUCAUUUGUCAAGACGUGGGCCAUAAGCUUUGCCUCAACACACUCUGCUUUACUGAUCAAUUACUGUUCAUACAGAGGGGCUCAUUUUAAAAAGCACCCAUAAAGCAAGUUUCAUAAAUGACACAAUCUUUUUCCAUCCAGGUUUUCGAUCUGACUUUUUGCUGUAUAUGUUAGGGAAUAAAUUAGUCUUUGUUUUAAUAAAGAUGCUGUAGAGUUGUUAUGUUAUGUUAAA